rnacentral:snoRNA from 1 species
CCCAUGAUGGUGAACUUCACUGCACUUGACCCAAGCUGAUGAGCACGCCCCAACUGA